AUACGUAGGGGGCGAGCGUUGUCCGGAAUGAUUGGGCGUAAAGGGCGCGUAGGCGGCCCGGUAAGUCUGGAGUGAAAGUCCUGUUUUUAAGAUGGGAAUUGCUUUGGAUACUGUCGGGCUUGAGUGCAGGAGAGGUAAGUGGAAUUCCCAGGGUAGCGGUGAAAUGCGUAGAGAUUGGGAGGAACACCAGUGGCGAAGGUGACUUACUGGACUGCAACUGACGCUGAGGCGCGAAAGUGUGGGGAGCAAACAGGAUUAGAUACCCUGGUAGUCCACACUGUAAACGAUGAAUGCUAGGUGUAGGGGGUAUCGACCCCUUCUGUGCCGCAGUCAACACAAUAAGCAUUCCGCCUGGGGAGUACGGCCGCAAGGUUGAAACUCAAAGGAAUUGACGGGG
rnacentral:rRNA from 1 species